UCUUCUUUCUCUCUGAAAACCCUAGCGCCACCGUCGAACCACCUUCUGCCUCUUCCUCCGUCACCUUUAACGUGAAUCGCUUCCGCAUCUUGCGUCAGCUCAGAGAAUCACCGCAUCUUCGCCGGUGUUUUGUUGCCGAAGCCUAGCGUUGUCAUCUUCUUCAUCUUCACACUUCAACUCAGGUCAAUCCUCACACGCACCAACUGAAGAUAUGUGACUUCAGAAGUGCUAAAGUCUUGACUUCGGAACAUCCGCGGCGUAAGCACGCAUCAUGAGGUCAGUUCACCUUUGAUAAAUUCUGAUGUGGUGCAGGUCUGGUUGUUGGUGUAUAUAACAGGUUCUGGAGGCAUUGUAUCAUGGUUUCGUGAUGAAUGAAGAUGAAGGAACACAUGGGAAAUUGGAAGCUUAAUGAAGGAACACG